rnacentral:rRNA from 1 species
UGCGAAGGGGGCUAGCGUUGCUCGGAAUUACUGGGCGUAAAGCGCACGUAGGCGGCUUUCUAAGUCGGGGGUGAAAUCCUGGAGCUCAACUCCAGAACUGCCUUCGAUACUGGAAAGCUCGAGUCCGGGAGAGGUGAGUGGAACUGCGAGUGUAGAGGUGAAAUUCGUAGAUAUUCGCAAGAACACCAGUGGCGAAGGCGGCUCACUGGCCCGGUACUGACGCUGAGGUGCGAAAGCGUGGGGAGCAAACAGG